UAUACAUCUAUCUUCACAAAAGAAGGUGAAGAAUUUGGACCACAGUGGCUGUAAGACAAGAAAGAAGAGACAUCUCUGACUCCCUUCUUCGUCUUGUCCCUGCCCCAAAUGAAACAGUAAGACAACGAUGGCCAGCCUGGUUCAAAGCAUGUUGCUUUAUUGUGUGGAAGAUCCAGUCCAUUUUUGUUGUCCAGCCACCAUGCAGGUUCUGCAGAAUAUCACAAAUGACACAGGGCACCUGAAAAGCUGAUACUAUGGCAACUAUAGGAGAGAAAUAUUGCUGAGUGACCAGCAAGGCUAUGAUGUGCAUUACACCUGACAUUUAAGAAUUCUCAAGUUAUUGCAAUUACGCAAUCCCAAGAGGAUUUUAAGUGUUAAAUAAAAGGAAAAAAUCACAUAUUUAAACAUUUAUCUUUAUACACGUGUGCUGGCCCUUCAAAGCUAAAGUGAGGUUUCAUGAACCAAAGACCUUGUAAGUGCCAAGAUCACCUACUGAGUUACAAGUGGAUGGCUGAUCUUCAACUGAAGAAUUAGAACGGACCCACUGCAUGCCAAUUAAAAUGCUACUUUUCAGUUAAAAAGUUCAACUAUUAAUGGUCACCAGUCGUAAACUGCAUUUUAGGUACAAAAUAUUCUGGAAGUUAAACACUUAAAA